AUCGCUUUUCAGCCUUUUGGCCAAGAUCAAGUGUAGUAUCUGUUCUUAUCAGUUUUAAAUGCCACCAGGUUAAUAGUAGCCAGCAUUUACUGAGGACUCCCGCAUGCCAGGACUCUAUGCUGAGGGCUUUACAUAUGUCAGUUCUAGACUUU
rnacentral:snRNA from 1 species